GGGUUGUGAGGUUAAGCGACUAAGCGUACACGGUGGAUGCCCUGGCAGUCAGAGGCGAUGAAGGACGUGCUAAUCUGCGAAAAGCGUCGGUAAGGUGAUAUGAACCGUUAUAGCCGGCGAUGUCCGAAUGGGGAAACCCAGUGUGAUUCGUCACACUAUCGUUAACUGAAUACAUAGGUUAACGAGGCGAACCGGGGGAACUGAAACAUCUAAGUACCCCGAGGAAAAGAAAUCAACCGAGAUUCCCCCAGUAGCGGCGAGCGAACGGGGAGCAGCCCAGAGUCUGAAUCAGCUUGUGUGUUAGUGGAACGGUCUGGAAAGUCCGACGGUACAGGGUGAUAGUCCCGUACACCAAAAUGCACAGGUUGUGAACUCGAAGAGUAGGGCGGGACACGUGGUAUCCUGUCUGAAUAUGGGGGGACCAUCCUCCAAGGCUAAAUACUCCUGACUGACCGAUAGUGAACCAGUACCGUGAGGGAAAGGCGAAAAGAACCCCGGCGAGGGGAGUGAAAAAGAACCUGAAACCGUGUACGUACAAGCAGUGGGAGCACCUUCGGGUGUGACUGCGUACCUUUUGUAUAAUGGGUCAGCGACUUAUAUUCUGUAGCAAGGUUAACCGUAUAGGGGAGCCGCAGGGAAACCGAGUCUUAACUGGGCGUUAAGUUGCAGGGUAUAGACCCGAAACCCGGUGAUCUAGCCAUGGGCAGGUUGAAGGUUGGGUAACACUAACUGGAGGACCGAACCGACUAAUGUUGAAAAAUUAGCGGAUGACUUGUGGCUGGGGGUGAAAGGCCAAUCAAACCGGGAGAUAGCUGGUUCUCCCCGAAAGCUAUUUAGGUAGCGCCUCGUGAAUUCAUCUUCGGGGGUAGAGCACUGUUUCGGCUAGGGGGUCAUCCCGACUUACCAACCCGAUGCAAACUACGAAUACCGAAGAAUGUUAUCACGGGAGACACACGGCGGGUGCUAACGUCCGUCGUGAAGAGGGAAACAACCCAGACCGCCAGCUAAGGUCCCAAAGUCAUGGUUAAGUGGGAAACGAUGUGGGAAGGCACAGACAGCCAGGAUGUUGGCUUAGAAGCAGCCAUCAUUUAAAGAAAGCGUAAUAGCUCACUGGUCGAGUCGGCCUGCGCGGAAGAUGUAACGGGGCUAAACCAUGCACCGAAGCUGCGGCAGCGACACUAUGUGUUGUUGGGUAGGGGAGCGUUCUGUAAGCCUGCGAAGGUGACCUGUGAGGGUUGCUGGAGGUAUCAGAAGUGCGAAUGCUGACAUAAGUAACGAUAAAGCGGGUGAAAAGCCCGCUCGCCGGAAGACCAAGGGUUCCUGUCCAACGUUAAUCGGGGCAGGGUGAGUCGACCCCUAAGGCGAGGCCGAAAGGCGUAGUCGAUGGGAAACAGGUUAAUAUUCCUGUACUUGGUGUUACUGCGAAGGGGGGACGGAGAAGGCUAUGUUAGCCGGGCGACGGUUGUCCCGGUUUAAGCAUGUAGGCUGAUUGUCCAGGCAAAUCCGGAUAAUCAAGGCUGAGGUGUGAUGACGAGGCACUACGGUGCUGAAGUAACAAAUGCCCUGCUUCCAGGAAAAGCCUCUAAGCAUCAGGUAACAUUAAAUCGUACCCCAAACCGACACAGGUGGUCAGGUAGAGAAUACCAAGGCGCUUGAGAGAACUCGGGUGAAGGAACUAGGCAAAAUGGUGCCGUAACUUCGGGAGAAGGCACGCUGGUGUGUAGGUGAAGUCCCUGCGGAUGGAGCUGAGACCAGUCGAAGAUACCAGCUGGCUGCAACUGUUUAUUAAAAACACAGCACUGUGCAAACACGAAAGUGGACGUAUACGGUGUGACGCCUGCCCGGUGCCGGAAGGUUAAUUGAUGGGGUUAUCCGUAAGGAGAAGCUCUUGAUCGAAGCCCCGGUAAACGGCGGCCGUAACUAUAACGGUCCUAAGGUAGCGAAAUUCCUUGUCGGGUAAGUUCCGACCUGCACGAAUGGCGUAAUGAUGGCCAGGCUGUCUCCACCCGAGACUCAGUGAAAUUGAACUCGCUGUGAAGAUGCAGUGUACCCGCGGCAAGACGGAAAGACCCCGUGAACCUUUACUAUAGCUUGACACUGAACAUUGAGCCUUGAUGUGUAGGAUAGGUGGGAGGCUUUGAAGCGUGGACGCCAGUCUGCGUGGAGCCAACCUUGAAAUACCACCCUUUAAUGUUUGAUGUUCUAACGUUGGCCCCUGACCGGGGUUGCGGACAGUGUCUGGUGGGUAGUUUGACUGGGGCGGUCUCCUCCCAAAGCGUAACGGAGGAGCACGAAGGUUAGCUAAUCCUGGUCGGACAUCAGGAGGUUAGUGCAAUGGCAUAAGCUAGCUUGACUGCGAGCGUGACGGCGCGAGCAGGUGCGAAAGCAGGUCAUAGUGAUCCGGUGGUUCUGAAUGGAAGGGCCAUCGCUCAACGGAUAAAAGGUACUCCGGGGAUAACAGGCUGAUACCGCCCAAGAGUUCAUAUCGACGGCGGUGUUUGGCACCUCGAUGUCGGCUCAUCACAUCCUGGGGCUGAAGUAGGUCCCAAGGGUAUGGCUGUUCGCCAUUUAAAGUGGUACGCGAGCUGGGUUUAGAACGUCGUGAGACAGUUCGGUCCCUAUCUGCCGUGGGCGCUGGAGAAUUGAGGGGGGCUGCUCCUAGUACGAGAGGACCGGAGUGGACGCAUCACUGGUGUUCGGGUUGUCAUGCCAAUGGCACUGCCCGGUAGCUAAAUGCGGAAGAGAUAAGUGCUGAAAGCAUCUAAGCACGAAACUUGCCCCGAGAUGAGUUCUCCCUGAGACUUUAAGUCUCCUGAAGGAACGUUGAAGACGACGACGUUGAUAGGCCGGGUGUGUAAGCGCAGCGAUGCGUUGAGCUAACCGGUACUAAUGAACCGUGAGGCUUAACCUUACAACGCCGAAG
rnacentral:rRNA from 1 species